UCCUGCUCUGCCAGGGUCAAGGUUACCCGAAUCCUUGCCACGUGUGCCCAGGCGCCCUCCCCUGGGAACCAGAGAAGACCUCAGCCACACACCCAUCUUUCCUAUCCCUGACUUCUAAAACCCCGCCCUCUGCCUGUCCCCAGGGCCGAGCACUGCAGAACAGGGUUGGCGCCAAGCCCCGAACCACCCUCGGCCCCUGGCCACAGGCGGGAAGUGGGCGGGGCCGAGGGCCAGGGGCAGGGCUGGCGGCGACGCGGUGAGAUGGGCUGCCCCUGCGCCUGCGCAGUCUGAUGGCCGAGGCCUGGGCUUGUCUGCGGGUUUCCGCAGCGGGUAGCUGGGGCGUCUGGAGAGAUGGGGAAAGCGGUAGAGCAGGUCGCGCCUGGGUCUCCGACCCAGCCCCGUGUGAGCCCGAGGUAUUUUCCUUAUAUGAUCAGGCCUCACGUGGCCGGCGCUGCUGGUCUGGAGCCUGAGAGGAUUAUGAACACGUGGCAGGUGACGGGGCCCGGGGACCCGGCGCGGGGAGCUAGCUGAAGGGGUUUUCUGCUGUUCUGGAACUCGCCAUGUAGACUAGGCUAGCCUCGAACUACGAGAUCCGCCUAAGUGCUGAGAUUAAAAGCACGCUCCACCACGCAUAACUUUUUUUUUUUUGUGAAAACUUUCAAGAAUAUAGAAAUGUGGAAAGGUUCGUGCAGGGAACCUACUGUAAUUUCACACCUACCUAUUAAAAUCUUUUUUUUUAA